rnacentral:rRNA from 1 species
GAUGAACGCUGGCGGCGUGCUUAACACAUGCAAGUCGAACGGAAAGGCCCAAGAUUGCUUGGGUACUCGAGUGGCGAACGGGUGAGUAACACGUGGGUGAUCUGCCCUGCACUUCGGGAUAAGCCUGGGAAACUGGGUCUAAUACCGGAUAGGACCACUUCUUGGAUGUUGUGGUGGAAAGUUUUUUCGGUGUGGGAUGAGCUCGCGGCCUAUCAGCUUGUUGGUGGGGUAAUGGCCUACCAAGGCGUCGACGGGUAGCCGGCCUGAGAGGGUGUACGGCCACAUUGGGACUGAGAUACGGCCCAGACUCCUACGGGAGGCAGCAGUGGGGAAUAUUGCACAAUGGGCGCAAGCCUGAUGCAGCGACGCCGCGUGGGGGAUGACGGCCUUCGGGUUGUAAACUCCUUUCGCUAGGGACGAAGCGUUUUGUGACGGUGCCUGGAGAAGAAGCACCGGCUAACUACGUG